rnacentral:rRNA from 1 species
GAUGAACGCUGGCGGCGUGCCUAAUACAUGCAAGUCGAGCGAACGGACGAGAAGCUUGCUUCUCUGAUGCUAGCGGCGGACGGGUGAGUAACGCGUGGAUAACCUACCUAUGAGACUGGGAUAACUUCGGGAAACCGGAGCUAAUACCGGAUAAUAUUUUGAACCGCAUGGUUCAAAAGUGAAAGACGGUCUUGCUGUCACUUAUAGAUGGAUCCGCGCUGCAUUAGCUAGUUGGUAAGGUAACGGCUUACCAAGGCAACGAUGCAUAGCCGACCUGAGAGGGUGAUCGGCCACACUGGAACUGAGACACGGUCCAGACUCCUACGGGAGGCAGCAGUAGGGAAUCUUCCGCAAUGGGCGAAAGCCUGACGGAGCAACGCCGCGUGAGUGAUGAAGGUCUUCGGAUCGUAAAACUCUGUUAUUAGGGAAGAACAUAUGUGUAAGUAACUGUGCACAUCUUGACGGUACCUAAUCAGAAAGCCACGGCUAACUACGUG